rnacentral:tRNA from 3 species
GCCGGCUUAGCUCAGUGGUAGAGCAGCGGUUUUGUAAACCGUUGGUCGGGGGUUCAAGUCCCUCAGCCGGCACCA